UACGAAGGGGGCAAGCGUUGUUCGGAUUUACUGGGCGUACAGGGAGCGUAGGCGGUUGGGUAAGCCCUCCGUGAAAUCUCCAGGCUUAACCUGGAAAGUGCAGAGGGGACUGUUCAGCUAGAGGAUGGGAGAGGAGCGCGGAAUUCCCGGUGUAGCGGUGAAAUGCGUAGAGAUCGGGAGGAAGGCCGGUGGCGAAGGCGGCGCUCUGGAACAUUUCUGACGCUGAGGCUCGAAAGCGUGGGGAGCAAACAGG
rnacentral:rRNA from 1 species